AAGUUCUUUAAGAAUGAGAUCAUUUGAUGUAUCAGAGGAGUUUGUUUGCUGGCAUUUCGCUAUUGUUUUUCCCUCCACACAAUCAGUGUCUACUGUGCUCAGCUUACUCAGCACUAUGCCACUACAAAGUUGACUUAAAUGACUAUCACUGCACUGAGAAACUCAGCUCCCCAUCUCUGCUGGAACAGGCUUUGAUCAUUUGCUUGCUGGACACAAAAGGUUCCCCAGAAAGUACAGAACUCUGA
rnacentral:lncRNA from 1 species